rnacentral:rRNA from 1 species
GAUGAACGCUGGCGGCGUGCCUAAUACAUGCAAGUCGAGCGAACAGACGAGGAGCUUGCUCCUCUGACGUUAGCGGCGGACGGGAGUGUAACACGUGGAUCACCUACCUAUAAGACUGGUAUAACUUCGGGAAACCGGAGCUAAUACCGGAUAAUAUAUUGAACCGCAUGGUUCAAGAGUGAAAGGCGGUUUUGCUGUCACUUAUAGAUGGAUCCGCGCCGCAUUAGCUAGUUGGUAAGGUAACGGCUUACCAAGGCAACGAUGCGUAGCCGACCUGAGAGGGUGAUCGGCCACCCUGUAACUGAGGCACGGUCCAGACGCCUACGGUAGGCCGCAGUAGGGAAUCUUGCGCAAUGGGCGAAAGCCUGACGGAGCAACGCCGCGUGAGUGAGGAAGGUCUUCGGAUCGUAAAACUCUGUUAUUAGGGAAGAACAAAUGUGUAAGUAACUAUGCACGUCUUGACGGUACCUAAUCAGAAAGCCCCGGCUAACUACGUG